GGCGGACGGGUGAGUAACGCGUGGGUAACCUACCCAUUAGCCAGGAAUAACUCCGGGAAACCGGAGCUAAUACCUGAUGCACUUUAAGGUAAGCAUUUACUUUAAAGAAAAGAUGGCCUCUCGAAGAAGCUAUCGUUAAUGGAUGGACCCGCGUCUGAUUAGCUAGUUGGUGAGGUAGAGGCUCACCAAGGCCAUGAUCAGUAGCCGGCCUGAGAGGGUGAACGGCCACACUGGGACUGAGACACGGCCCAGACUCCUACGGGAGGCAGCAGUGGGGAAUCUUCCGCAAUGGGCGCAAGCCUGACGGAGCAAUGCCGCGUGAGUGACGAAGGCCUUCGGGUUGUAAAACUCUGUCCUUAGGGAAGAACGGUCUAUAUGUGAAUAAUGUAUAGAAAUGACGGUACCUAAGGAGGAAGCCCCGGCUAACUACGUGCCAGCAGCCGCGGUAACACGUAGGGGGCGAGCGUUGUCCGGAAUCACUGGGCGUAAAGAGCACGUAGGCGGAUUAUUAAGUCAGAUGUGAAA
rnacentral:rRNA from 1 species